UACGUAGGGGGCAAGCGUUGUCCGGAUUUAUUGGGCGUAAAGAGCGUGUAGGCGGCCUGAAAGGUCAGCUGUGAAAACUCGAGGCUCAACCUCGAGACGUCGGUUGAAACCAUCUGGCUAGAGUCCGGAAGAGGAGAGUGGAAUUCCCGGUGUAGCGGUGAAAUGCGCAGAUAUCGGGAAGAACACCCGUGGCGAAGGCGGCUCUCUGGGACGGUACUGACGCUGAGACGGACGAAAGCGGUGGGGAGCGAACAGG
rnacentral:rRNA from 1 species